rnacentral:rRNA from 1 species
UACGUAGGGUGCGAGCGUUAAUCGGAAUUACUGGGCGUAAAGCGUGCGCAGGCGGUUUUGUAAGCCAGAUGUGAAAUCCCCGGGCUUAACCUGGGAAUGGCAUUUGGGACUGCAAGGCUGGAGUGUGGCAGAGGAGACUGGAAUUCCUGGUGUAGCAGUGAAAUGCGUAGAUAUCAGGAGGAACACCGAUGGCGAAGGCAGCUCGCUGGGACGUGACUGACGCUGAGACGCGAAAGCGUGGGGAGCAAACAGG